rnacentral:rRNA from 1 species
UAGUUGGAUUUGGGUCGACCGGGCCGCCGGGCCGCCGCCCCCGUGCGGCGAGUUCCCGUGCGUCCCCGGGACCGCACGUUCACCCCCGCGGUGCUCUUGACUGAGUGUCCGCGGUAGCGGGUGACCGAACGUUUACCUUGACAAAACCGGAGUGCUCGAGGCGUGGGCGUUCGCCGCCCGUACGUCCUCGCUGGGAAUAAUGGAAGAGGACCGUUGGUCAAAAAAGGUUUUUGUCAAGAGAGGCGGGAGAGCAAAAAGGAGGUUGUGCCGGCGGGGGGUUACAAAGGGGGGUAACUCCCUUUCUCCCUCUGGUCUUCCUCUUUCUCCUCCUCGAAACCUUCCUUCCCGCGUACGGCACUGGGGAUCGGUUUGCGCUUUCCGGCGGGAAGGGCGGUUUGAGACAGAAGGGUGAAAGCAAGUGGCUGUUUGCCGGAAGGCGAAAGCCGGACGGCCGGUCGUUUGUGGAAGCCUGGAAUCUUAUUCCCCCUCACUGUCGUGGUGCUUCCGUACCCUCGGCGUCAGUGGGAGGAGGUCGAAAAUCGAAAUAAAAAUAACGUGUCAUGAUUAAGAGGGACGGCCGGGGGCAUUCGUACCGCGGCGCGAGAGGUGAAAUUCUAGGACCGUCGCGAGACGAACGAUAGCGAAAGCAUUUGCCAAGAAUGUUUUCCUUAAUCAAGAACGAAAGUCGGGAGGUUCGAAGGCGAUCAGAUACCGCCCUAGUUCCGACCUUAAACCAUGCCGUCCGACCGCCCGCCAGGGUUACUACCGCGACUCGGCGGGCGGUGACUUUCCACCGGGAAACCCUUAAGCUUUCGGGUUCCGGGGGAAGUACGGUCGCAAAGCUGAAACUUAAAGGAAUUGACGGAAGGGCACCACCAGGAGUGGAGCCUGCGGCUUAAUUUGACUCAACACGGGGAACCUCACCCGGCCCGGACACCGCGAGGAUUGACAGAUCGAUAGCUCUUUCUCGAUCCGGUGGGUGGUGGUGCAUGGCCGUUCUUAGUUGGUGGAGCGAUCUGUCUGGUUAAUUCCGAUAACGAACGAGACUCUAGCCGGUUAAGUAGCCCGAGUGGCGUGUUGUUGAUUUAAAAACCGCCCUAGCGGCAUUCGGGGUGCUUCUCGGAAGCUGUCUGGCUUUAACGGUGAUGGGACGAGGAGGUGGAAGACGACGGUUGGAGCCGCGUGCGUCGCGGCUCGGAUCUAGUUUUUUUAACUUAUCUUUAAUCCUGUCUCGUUUCGGCCUUUCACUUUUGGGAGCCUCUGUUUGCUUAACUGGGGUAGAUAAAACGCUAACGAGAGUCGGGGGUAGUGGACGUUACUCGUGGAAUGGGUGGGCGCUCCUUAGUGGUGCGUCUCUCUUCCCGGUUUCGCUUUUCUGCUUUCCUCGUCGUCUCGCGCCACCGGCUUUCGAGUGCAAAAGCUUCUUAGAGGGACGAGCGGCGUUCAGCCGCGCGAGAUUGAGCGAUAACAGGUCUGUGAUGCCCUUAGAUGUCCGGGGCCGCACGCGCGCUACACUGAAGGGGUCAACGCGCCAUUACGUUUCCCGGGCCGAAAGGCUCGGGGAACCGGUGGAACCCCGACGUAGCGUUCGUGCUAGGGACAGGGACUUGCAAUUGUGUCCCUCGAACGAGGAAUUCCCAGUAGGCGCGAGUCAUCAGCUCGCGCCGAUUACGUCCCUGCCCUUUGUACACACCGCCCGUCGCUACUACCGAUCGAACGAUUUAGCGAGGUCUUCGGACCGGCGGCCGAAGGUGCGCGAGCGCCGGCGG